GACCCUGCGAAUAUGCCCAACGCUGUUCGACCCCAGACUCCUACUUACCACCCCCCUCAGCAGCCCGCAAUGGCUGGUAACCCGCAGCAGCCCACGAUGCCUGGUUAUACUCAAAAUCCGCCACCUUAUGGUCCUCCUCAGCAGCCUACACCGCCUUACCAUUUGCAAGCUUCCGGUCCCCCAUAUCCACCGCCUCAACAUCAACAACAACCACCACCGAACCACGAGUAUGGCCAACCUGCGUAUCCUGGAUGGCGGGGUCCCUAUUAUAAUGCACCUCCACAGCAGCCUGCACCUCCUCAGCAACCGGGUUCUAUGCCUCGACCUCCUUAUACCGUCCCUUCUCCAUAUCAUCCUCCUCACCAUCAGAGUGGCUAUUACCGCCAAUGAUAGUUUUCCUAUUUGUCUUCAUGUGCAUCCUUGA
rnacentral:lncRNA from 1 species